GAAACGACUGCUAAUACCGCAUAAGCCCACGGCUCGGCAUCGAGCAGAGGGAAAAGGAGUGAUCCGCUUUGAGAUGGCCUCGCGUCCGAUUAGCUAGUUGGUGAGGUAACGGCCCACCAAGGCAACGAUCGGUAGCCGGACUGAGAGGUUGAACGGCCACAUUGGGACUGAGACACGGCCCAGACUCCUACGGGAGGCAGCAGUGGGGAAUAUUGCACAAUGGGGGAAACCCUGAUGCAGCGACGCCGCGUGGAGGAAGAAGGUCUUCGGAUUGUAAACUCCUGUUGUUGAGGAAGAUAAUGACGGUACUCAACAAGGAAGUGACGGCUAACUACGUGCCAGCAGCCGCGGUAAAACGUAGGUCACAAGCGUUGUCCGGAAUUACUGGGUGUAAAGGGAGCGCAGGCGGGAGAACAAGUUGGAAGUGAAAUCCAUGGGCUCAACCCAUGAACUGCUUUCAAAACUGUUUUUCUUGAGUAGUGCAGAGGUAGGCGGAAUUCCCGGUGUAGCGGUGGAAUGCGUAGAUAUCGGGAGGAACACCAGUGGCGAAGGCGGCCUACUGGGCACCAACUGACGCUGAGGCUCGAAAGUGUGGGUAGCAAACAGGAUUAGAUACCCUGGUAGUCCACACCGUAAACGAUGAUUACUAGGUGUUGGAGGAUUGACCCCUUCAGUGCC
rnacentral:rRNA from 1 species